rnacentral:lncRNA from 1 species
GUUUAGUCUUUCCCUCCCAGGCUUCCAGACUUCUAAUUGGUCAACAUUUCAUUUUUAGUGUCUACAUGUGGACAGAGAUAUUUUAUCAAAACUGCACGUGUGGACGGGAUUUUUAAAAAAAAUAACAAAAACUGAAAAUCUCCAUUUUCAAAAAUACUCAUGUACAUAGCCUUACUCUCUACAGGGAGAGGUGAAACAUAGUGGGGGAGACGGUCUGGGGGAAACGAAGAGAGAUCUUAGUGCACGGUCCACGUUCCUCAAUGUGCUGGGCAGGUGAGCAUAUCCAGCGGAGCUGCAAGUAAUCCAGCACUCAAACACACUGAGAUAAAAGUAACCUGAUUACGAGUCAUCUGGAGGCUUGACUGUGAGCAAAGAGCACACAAUUAAUUCCAGUAAAACAAUGGCAACAAUCAACUACUGCAAUAACCUUAACACAAUCUGGCAAUGGCGGAUUGCCGCGCUGGUCUUAUGUCUCUGCAGCCUCAUUGCUCACAGGUGCUGCUGGUCGGUGGAAACGAAGGGGCCCCACCCAGGGGUGGAGACACCAGGAACACAGGUGCUUUAGACUCACCCAGACCAUGACAAUAGCCUCAUUUCCAUCUGCAGACCCUCUGGCAGGUCAAAACAAGAAAGACCAAGUUGGAUUCACACCUGUACUGAUAAUCACCGCAGGUAAAUAUGAACAUAAUGUUACACAACAUUGAGCAGUUAGCAACUUGAAACCAAAUUAAUCAACUGAAAUAAAUGAUUAUUUUCAUAAAAUAAAGGACCCAUGGGGGAAGCAGUAUGCCAAGAGGUGCUGUCAGAUAAGGAGGGGAUAAAAUGUGUAAAUGUAAAAGUGGGAAACAUUCACAAAGAGACUUAAAAAAAACAGAGGUGAAAAUACAAACAAGGUCAAGAGAAGAGUAUUACUGAUAGCUGCCAGAGUGAAGCUGACCCCCCACCCACUUGAAAAGUAAAGGCAAAUAGGCGGAGUGAUUAGUACUUCGUUUGUGCUGCUUUAGUUUUGAGAUAUUAAACUUUAUUUUAUAGGUCAUUCAAAGGUCAACAUCCCAGACUGCUCGAAAACAGACCAAAGUGGUCUACUUUUGUGCUGUAAGGAGUGUCAUGGCCAGUUAGAAAUGUCACGUGACAGACAGACAGCAAUUAAUAGUCCAAUGGUGCUCCAAUGUUUCAUGAAAAAUACAGAUCUC